CGAUGAUGAUUGAUGUAGGAGCUGCCGAAGGCUGCGAUCUUUUGAUCUUGAAAACAAAGAUCGCAGCCUUCGGCAGCUCCUACAGGGCAC
rnacentral:misc_RNA from 1 species